UGGCCGCAGAGCAGUGUCAUGAAGAGACCAUCGACUGUGUGGGAGCUGAGACCAAAUGCAUCGAAGUCUCUGGAACCACAAAAGCUGGUGGGACUGCCCGAAAGGCCAUCAUGAAGGGCUGUGUGACCCCGGCCGCCUGCACCUAUAUCACAGAAGGACAGGGGUCCUUUGCGGGGAUCGAUGCUGAUCCAGCCGAUGUCAAAUGCACAGAAGCCUCCAGUGUGAUCAGCAGAGCCGUGCGCCCCGCCGGGGUCCUGCUUCCUGCCCUCGCCGGCCUCCUCCUGCUGAUGCUCCGCUCCUGAACCCACCCCCCCAAAACGCUGGAGCACCGCCCACACCGGGCCCCCUGCUGCCCGCAUUAGCCCCUCUCUGCUGCUCUCCCCCAGGGGCCCUGGCCCCAGCCGGAUUCGCUCCCCCUGUGCAACGUGCUGCUUAAUAAAACAAAUGGGAGAGCAAA